AAAUUGAUGUAGCUCUGUGUUGUGACCUCCACAGAUUUAACUUUCUUUAGAAAAAAAUCCCAAGGACAAAUUCUGUCAUUCGAAAUUUUGUUGUACUGCUGAAAACACUUUACUUGGAGUAUAACAUCCUUUUUUGAUGAUGUGAAAAAUCAAAUGUGAACUUCUAACAAUAUUUGAUUUUUUGGAACAUUCCUCUUGCUAAUGUAUUACUGCACUCAAUAAAAACACAUUUGAUACUGCUUCUGCAGUUCUGGAUCUAUCUGUUCAACCUAGAGAGAAAAUUUUUCAAUAUGAAGUUGAGAUGAAGUUUGUGAACUUAAAUGUUGAUGACAUGUUCCGCUCUGGUAGGCUGAAUCGUCUUGUUGAAGUUUUCAAGACCAGCUUGUGGAAAGAAAGUGAUGACAUUUAUAUAACUAAAGUUGUUUCAUCUUUGUAUGUUGGUGGACGUUUACCCUUGAAUCCUAGAAUGAAAGAUGGAGUAGUUGUUAGAAUUGGUGGAACAUCGCCAUUUUCUCGAGAUUUGGAAGACUUGGAUAGAGAAGUUAUACCUCUGAGAAAUCGAUCUCCAUGCCCCCCUGAUUACAAAAGAACUUCAGUCGAACACUUGUUUCGAAGUAGGAACUUUAUAGCUGAUUGGUGCAGUUCAGACUUCACUCUGAAAAGCACCAAAGAAAUGUUGGCUCAAGUGAUGGUUGGUCUGAUCAUCCGUACUCGUCUAUACCUCUUGCAAGUGAUGAAUACAGUCCUCAGAUUAGUGAUCUGCCAAGAAGAGACCUGCUCGUUGAUUUCAUUGUGUCUAAUAUUAUACCUACAACUAUAGUGGGGGUUAUGUCUCUUAUUCUCACCUGCAUAGUAUGUUGCAACAAGGAUGGAUUGGAUAAAGCUAAUGACGGCACAAGGGGCUCUAGUCAAACUGGUACAUCGAGAAGUGUUAUGCAGCCUCCUCCUCCACCCUAUGCAACUUCUUCCUAUCCACCUUCAUAUGUUGGCUCAGCUCGAAAUGUUGCUAUGCCUCCUCAGUAAAGAACAAUAUAUAAUGCACCUGUUAGAGUGGAGACUACGCAAUAGAAUUGCUAUUAGAUGCAGAUGCACCUAAAAAUUUUCUCUGUAUGCGUUUUCUAGUCCUCAUUUUUUAAUGCAUAUAGAAUAAUAUCACAUUACAGCUAAUUAGUAGGAACCAUUGCAAACUCUGUGCUAGAUUCUAUGCUGUGAAGUGACAGGGGUCAGUAGUGCCUGGAACAUAUUUUCAUUUUCUCUCAUCAUAUUUGUAAUUGUGAAAUAAAAUGAUUGUACUGUUAUUUUGCAUUUACUAUACCCUUUGCCAGUCACUAUAUCUAUGAUCAUUUUGCUAAAAUUUCAUUUCUAAAAUUCUAUAGGAAUUUAGGAUAUUUUUUUACAUAGAUUGCAAUGUCACUUACUUGUAUGUGUUGAAAAAGAUUUGCA